AGACCCGAAACCCGGUGAUCUAGCCAUGGGCAGGUUGAAGGUUGGGUAACACUAACUGGAGGACCGAACCGACUAAUGUUGAAAAAUUAGCGGAUGACCUGUGGCUGGGGGUGAAAGGCCAAUCAAACCGGGAGAUAGCUGGUUCUCCCCGAAAGCUAUUUAGGUAGCGCCUCGUGAAUUCAUCUCCGGGGGUAGAGCACUGUUUCGGCCAGGGGGCCAUCCCGGCUUACCAAUCCGAUGCAAACUGCGAAUACCGGAGAAUGUUAUCACGGGAGACACACGGCGGGUGCUAACGUCCGUCGUGAAGAGGGAAACAACCCAGACCGCCAGCUAAGGUCCCAAAGUCAUGGUUAAGUGGGAAACGAUGUGGGAAGGCCCAGACAGCCAGGAUGUUGGCUUAGAAGCAGCCAUCAUUUAAAGAAAGCGUAAUAGCUCACUGGUCGAGUCGGCCUGCGCGGAAGAUGUAACGGGGCUAAACCAUGCACCGAAGCUGCGGCAGCGACACUGAUGUGU
rnacentral:rRNA from 3 species